rnacentral:rRNA from 1 species
CGGGCGCGGCGUCGGUCCAAGUUCCUUGGAACGGGGCGUCAUAGAGGGUGAGAAUCCCGUAUGUGACCGGCGAUCUAGCCCAUGUGAAACUCCUUCGACGAGUCGAGUUGUUUGGGAAUGCAGCUCAAAUUGGGUGGUAAAUUUCAUCUAAAGCUAAAUACCGGCCAGAGACCGAUAGCGAACAAGUAGAGUGAUCGAAAGAUGAAAAGCACUUUGGAAAGAGAGUUAAAAAGUACGUGAAAUUGUUGAAAGGGAAGCGCUUGCAACCAGACCUGCCCGCGGGCGGUCAGCCGUCUUUCCAAGGCGGUGUACUCGACCGCGAUCAGGCCAGCAUCGGUUCGGGCGGUCGGAUAAAGGCCCUGGGAAUGUGGCUCCUUUCGGGGAGUGUUAUAGCCCUGGGUGCAAUGCGGCCCGCCUGGAUCGAGGACCGCGCUUCGGCUAGGAUGCUGGCGUAAUGGUUGUAAGCGGCCCGUCUUGAAACACGGACCAAGGAGUCUAACAUCUAUGCGAGUGUUUGGGUGUCGAAACCCAUGCGCGGAAUGAAAGUGAAUGGAGGUGGGAACCCCGAGAGGGCGCACCAUCGACCGAUCCAGAUGUCCUCGGAUGGAUUUGAGUACGAGCAUGGCUGUUGGGACCCGAAAGAUGGUGAACUAUGCCUGAAUAGGGUGAAGCCAGAGGAAACUCUGGUGGAGGCUCGCAGCGGUUCUGACGUGCAAAUCGAUCGUCAAAUUUGGGUAUAGGGGCGAAAGACUAAUCGAACCAUU